rnacentral:rRNA from 1 species
UACAGAGGGGGCAAGCGUUGUUCGGAAUUACUGGGCGUAAAGGGCGCGUAGGUGGCCUUCUAAGUUGAACGUGAAAUCCCUGGGCUCAACCCAGGAACUGCGUCCAAGACUGGGAGGCUUGAAUCCGGGAGAGGGAUGCGGAAUUCCAGGUGUAGCGGUGAAAUGCGUAGAUAUCUGGAGGAACACCGGUGGCGAAGGCGGCAUCCUGGACCGGUAUUGACGCUGAGACGCGAAAGCGUGGGGAGCAAACAGG